rnacentral:misc_RNA from 1 species
GAUGAAGAACGCAGCGAAACGCGAUAUGUAAUGUGAAUUGCAGAAUUCAGUGAAUCAUCGAAUCUUUGAACGCACAUGUCGCCUUCCAGUAUCCUGGGAGGCAUGCCUGUCCGAGCGUCGUUUCAACCCUCGAGCCCCCGUGGCCCGGCGUUGGGGAUCUGCCCAGGCAGUCCCCGAAAACCAGUGGCGGACCCGUUACAGGCCCUUCCCUUGCGUAGUAGCAUUCGCCUCGCAUCGGGAGCCGGCGGGCUUCCAGCCUCUAAACCCCCAUCAAGUCCGCCCCGGCGGCACCAAGGUUGACCUCGGAUCAGGUAGGAAUACCCGCUGAACUUAAGCAUAUCAAUAAGCGGAGGA